rnacentral:rRNA from 1 species
UGGGGAAUUUUGGACAAUGGGCGAAAGCCUGAUCCAGCAAUGCCGCGUGUGUGAAGAAGGCCUUCGGGUUGUAAAGCACUUUUGUCCGGAAAGAAAUCCUUGGCUCUAAUACAGUCGGGGGAUGACGGUACCGGAAGAAUAAGCACCGGCUAACUACGUGCCAGCAGCCGCGGUAAUACGUAGGGUGCAAGCGUUAAUCGGAAUUACUGGGCGUAAAGCGUGCGCAGGCGGUUUGCUAAGACCGAUGUGAAAUCCCCGGGCUCAACCUGGGAACUGCAUUGGUGACUGGCAGGCUAGAGUAUGGCAGAGGGGGGUAGAAUUCCACGUGUAGCAGUGAAAUGCGUAGAGAUGUGGAGGAAUACCGAUGGCGAAGGCAGCCCCCUGGGCCAAUACUGACGCUCAUGCACGAAAGCGUGGGGAGCAAACAGGAUUAGAUACCCUGGUAGUCCACGCCCUAAAACGAUGUCAACUAGUUGUUGGGGAUUCAUUUCCUUAGUAACGUAGCUAACGCGUGAAGUUGACCGCCUGGGGAGUACGGUCGCAAGAUUAAAACUUAAAUGAAUUGACGGGGUCAUGCUGUUUCCU